ACCACUGUGAAUCACGGACCCAUUCCUGAGUCCUAAUCAUUUCCCAUCUAGACUCGAACCAUGGCAAUCCAUUCACUAUGCGGAACCUAUAUUCACCUAACGUGUAUGCUCUCUUGUCAGAGGGAACGCCGAUCAUCAUAGGGAGUGGUUCAUCAUCACUUACUCAAAGGAGGGAGAAACAAAAAUCCCUUAUAGAUAACGGUCAAAUGGAUUUUUCCAUUCUUUCCACUUGUUUAUUUCAUGCUCACAAUAAUUUCAUUUUCUUUUUUAUAUGCAUGCUACAUGUUCAAUGCAACUAUACUCCACUUGGCAGGGGUUCCAUAACCCAUUUAGCAGAUAGCUCAUAUCCAGCUAGAAGGCUUACUUCACGUAUCUAGCCCAAAGGCUCAUUUCACGUAUCUAGCCCGAAGGCUCUUUCCACUUAGACCUGACUUUCGAGUCAUCCUCUUAAACCAAGAUCCAUU
rnacentral:lncRNA from 1 species